CACAGAUGAGGGCAAGCUCAAGAUCUUCGUUCCCCCCACAGGUCUCCAAGCCCACUUUGGCUACUGGUCCUCCUGUCGAGCCUCGUGCUCCGGCAGCGGGUCCAAGUAGUCCAAAGUGGGUGAGGAACCUGCGGGCCCUCAUGGAGGAGUGCAACAGGCGGCGUGGCGGCCUGACAGGUAAGAGAGGUGCUGGGCCUCCAGCAGGCCAACCUCCAGGUAAGAGGUCUCCCACUUAGACUCUUACAUUUAAUAUAAUUUCAUUCUAGUCUUUAGGUUUUUAAGUUUUACUGAAUGUGAUUUAUGUUGGAUGUGAUCUGACCAGAUUUUAUUUGAAUGAUCCUGUUGUGAUGAUGUCUGGUUGAUCUAUUCCAACUUUAUUUGAAUAGAUUUUAUUUUAUUCUACUUUAUGUAUUUUCUCUUUGUAUAGUGUGAUUUAUGUUGGAUGUGAUUUGAUCAGACUUUAUUUGAAUGAUCCUGUUGUGAUGAUGUCUGGUUGAUCUAUUCCAACUUUAUUUGAAUCUUUUUUUUCUGGUUUUAUUGUACAUAGUUCGUUUGCACACUGUGAUUUAUGUUGGAUGUGAUCUGACCAGAUUUUAUUUGAAUGAUCCUGUUGUGAUGAUGUCUGGUUGAUCUAUUCCAACUUUAUUUGAAUGAAUUUAAAUGUAUUAUCUACUGUUUGUGGCCCUGUGAUGGACUGGCGAGCUGUCCAGGGUGUCUCUGCCUUCGCCAGGAGUCGACUAGGAAAGACUCCAGCCCCACAUGACCCUACAGAGGAUCAAGUGGAGUGUAGAGGAUGGAUGGAUGGAUGGAUGGAUGGAUGGAUGGAUGGAUGGAUGGAUGGGCUCUGUGUGAUUCCAGCUGAACUCUGUCCUUGUCAGUGGGACUCAGGUCAGGGUGUCUUUCAGUGGUGUGGGUGGAUGUGGGGGGAAUAGCGCCCUCACAGUGAAGCUGUAUCAGUUGUAAUAUGUGUGUCUGCAUCCCACCCUGGACCCACAGUGGAGUCCACAGUGACAAGGACCAGAGUUCAGUGGAAGCACACUGGGAGGGGGGAGGAAGAUUUCACGGGCCGCUGCACAGCGGUGGCCCGUGACAAGGUAAGUUUCAGGUUUACAUUUUAUAUUCAUAACACAAGAAGUUUUUAAAUCUUCAAUAGGAGGUGAUAAAUGUUCUGACAUGUUCUCCUGUUGUUUUUUUCUGCUCCAGGUCCCAGCUCCAGCAGACCCAUGAAGAUGACCAACCGAGCCCACCAGAGACGACCCCAGAGACUACAACCAGACGACAGGACAACUUUCUAAAGAGCAGAAUGCACUGGAUGGAACAUCGAGGAGAGAAAAGAUGUUAAGAAGAAAAGGAUGAUGGGAACCAGAUCCAGGACCAGUGCAUGAGAUGUGAGACCACAAAACUAAUACAAGAGCUCUCUCUGCAAGACACCCAGUAAAAUGAAGGAUCAGAUCAGGACAAGAGACUGGACAAGAGCAGCCCCAGCAUGUGAAUACAGACUAUGGAAGAGGGGAUGCUUGUUAUAGUGACACAAAAGGAGGAAGUCGGUGUACAAAGAGAAAAUCCCACACAGUCAGAGAACAUGAAGAGGAAGAAGCAGAUGAGCAGCAGAAUCUAAGAAGACAAAGAAGCAGUUGGAGGAGCCUCCAGACGAUUAGCAACAGAAGAAACGUGUCCCAGAACAGGAAGAAGAAGACCAACAUCAAAGAGAGAAGAAGAAGAAACAGACCCAAGAAGAAGAAAGAAAAGCUCCAGAUUACUCCAAAGGUCCUCUCUGCAGGUGUUUCUGGAUCUGGAGCUACACGUUUAGAUCUGCUUUUACUGGCCUCACCAACCUGCAGAGUUCAUGUUCUCUCCCUCCUCUGUACCCUCAUCCCAAACGGAGGUUUUUUUUUCAACUUCCUGGCAACAGGAAGUUUUUUUUCCUCCAUGCUGCUACCAAAUGCUUGAUCUGAUCCAAAUGCAAUCAGAGAGAGUCUUAAAUAAAAAGCCAAAACAAGAGAACUGUAUCUGUUUGUUCAGACGGUUGACAUUAUGGA
ensembl:lncRNA